rnacentral:rRNA from 1 species
GAUGAACGCUGGCGGCGUGCCUAACACAUGCAAGUCGAACGAAGCAUUCCCCUUCGGGAGGAUGACUGAGUGGCGGACGGGUGAGUAACGCGUGGGUAACCUGCCCUGUACAGGGGGAUAACAGUUAGAAAUGACUGCUAAUACCGCAUAAGCACACGGAGAGACAUCUCUCCGUGUGAAAAACUCCGGUGGUACAGGAUGGGCCCGCGUCUGAUUAGCUGGUUGGCGGGGUAAUGGCCCACCAAGGCGACGAUCAGUAGCCGGUCUGAGAGGAUGAACGGCCACAUUGGAACUGAGACACGGUCCAAACUCC